GACGAACGCUGGCGGCGUGCUUAACACAUGCAACUCGAGCGGAAAGGCCCUUCGGGGUACUCGAGCGGCGAACGGGUGAGUAACACGUGAGUAAUCUGCCCCUCACUCAGGGAUAACCACGGGAAGCUGUGGCUAAUACCUGAUAUGACCACGUCUCGCAUGGGGUGUGGUGGAAAGCUUUUGCGGUGGGGGCUGUGCCCGCGGCCUAUCAGCUUGGUGGUGAGGUAGUGGCUCACCAAGGCUUCGACGGGUAGCCGGCCUGAGAGGGUGACCGGCCACACUGGGACUGAGACACGGCCCAGACUCCUACGGGAGGCAGCAGUGGGGAAUAUUGGACAAUGGGCGAAAGCCUGAUCCAGCAACGCCGCGUGAGGGAUGACGGCCUUCGGGUUGUAAACCUCUUUCACCUCUGACGAAGCGCAAGUGACGGUAAGGGGAGAAGAAGGACCGGCCAACUACGUGCCAGCCGCCGCGGUAAUAC
rnacentral:rRNA from 1 species